rnacentral:rRNA from 1 species
GACGGGGUUACCCAAAGUGUUCAAUUUUGAACUGUGGUAGGUGAGUAAUGUUCCCUACUAGAAAGGAGAGGGCAAGGCUGGUGCCAGCCGCCGCGGUAAAACCAGCUCUUCAAGUGGUCGGGAUAAUUAUUGGGCUUAAAGUGUCCGUAGCCGGUUUAGUAAGUUCCUGGUAAAAUCGGGUAGCUUAACUAUCUAUAUGCUAGGAAUACUACUAUACUAGAGGGCGGGAGAGGUCUGAGGUACUACAGGGGUAGGGGUGAAAUCUUAUAAUCCUUGUUGGACCACCAGUGGCGAAGGCGUCAGACUGGAACGCGCCUGACGGUGAGGGACGAAAGCCAGGGGAGCGAACCGGAUUAGAUACCCGGGUAGUCCUGGCCGUAAACGAUGCAUACUAGGUGAUGGCACGGCCAUGAGCCGUGUCAGUGCCGUAGGGAAACCGUUAAGUGUGCCGCCUGGGAAGUACGGUCGCAAGG